rnacentral:lncRNA from 1 species
CUGCGGACCCGCAGUCUGUUUAUUAAAGACAGGGUAUAUGAUUGUGGUUGAGCGUUCACGAAGUGGUGCAUUUUGAGUUUGGACCAAUCGACUCGGUUGGUUGGUACAGUGGAACUUGCGUUGACAAGCGAGGUCAUAGUUAAAACCGUUGUGUGUGACACAGUCUGGUCCACGAAUGACGAACAUAGCACAGCACUUUAUAGACUGCCACUCUCACUCGGACACAAAGCCACAAGGUUUUCUGUCUUUGUUCCACCUCCAAUCCCCGCCUCCCAGAUACAUUGGAGUGUCGAGGACUUGUUAUUAUGUGAUUGAGGAGAUUUUCCUCCUCUGGGAAAGGGAAUUGGAUUACGACGCCAAACAAAACGGUUACUAUCGCUACUAAGUGGACAUUUUAAAGGUGUGCCUCCAGCUCAUGUGACUCCGCUGAUGACUCUGAGUCAGCCUGCGUUUUGUGGUUUCUCCUUAAGAAUCUGAAACCACCAAGGGUUUUUAAGUGUUCCAAUGUAAGGCAUCCAUAUUAGGAAGUUGGAAGUAUGGCAUUCAUAUUAGGAUGUCGGCAGUUGUCUGGCCCAUGGCAUUCUCAUCCUAGUGCAAUGCCUCGCCCCGCCGUGUGUCUGUCUUGUCCUUAAUGGAAGGAUAGUGGGCCCACUUUUCAUUGGUGUUUUGGGGCAGUUCGGGUGUGGAAUAAGACUCGGGGGGUCUGUAUGAGUCAUUUGGGGUACCCGUCAGUCCAGGGGGGUGAUACCUUUUUACAAGAGAUUAAAAAAACAAUGCUCCUCACUUACCUUUGUAUGCUGCAUAUGUUAUACUACAUGAGAGGAAAAACUGCAAAUAUUGCUUUUGGUUAUUACAGUAUAAUGCUUGAUUAAUACCUGAUUAUGAUAUUCUCAUAACUGUUUUAGAGACGGAAGUAUAACUAAGAUAUUCUCUUGUUUAGUUUUUUUUUUGUCUUAACACUUAUCUGACUUGAGCCGAACAUUUUAUUUUGUCGUCCUAUUUAAAUGUUGUUCUUUUUAAUAUGUAUAUGAAAUAUAUAUUGCAAAAUAUUUUAUGCUGUAUUUAUUGAGUGCAUAAACGAGCAGCUAGCUAGAGUCUCCGCAACAUUGGCAGCAUGGUGGAGCUAAGGGGACGAGCCUUAUCCUCCCCAAACACGCAAGCACAGCAACGUGGUGGUGGGCGGACGGAGGGGCACAGUUGAGCAGGGGCAUCUGUUUUUAAAUUAGGUAUUAAUUAUGUAGACCCCCUGCGUUUUAGCUUCCUGUUUGGUUUCUCAUGAAGGGAAGAGGCCUUCUCAUAUGUCCUCAUCACCUUCUUGUACUCUCUAGUCCCGCUCUCAUCCACGGUUCUCUCCUCCCCGGUUCUCUCCUCCCAUCUCGAUGAGCCCACUCCCACCCACCACCCCCACAUGUUGCAUCUCAUCUCUGUUGGGGUAGGGAACCUUCACUGAACCACACGGACUGAGCUGAGCCUUGUAAAAACGGACUUCCUCAUCCAGUGCUGCUAAUAUGUUAGCCAUGUAAACUCCCCUGGCCUGGUGGAGUACAGGUGGGUGAGAAUAGAGGAGAAAAGGAGGGAGGGAGGGAUGGUGCUAAGGUAGAGGAUGUAUGGUUAGGAGUGGCUUCUGUCCUUUCAUGUCUCCUCUGGAGUUCUUUUCCUUCUGCCAGAGACUUUUACACAGUAAGGAGUAGAGACUAAAGUCCCAUUCCACUCGCAAAUGCAAGCCUCCGCCUUAAGUGUGUUCUUACUUCGUUGUUCGGUUUUAUUUACGACUACAGAAUGCCUGAGUUGAGUACAAAAAAAGGCCCAACUCCAAAAUGGCAUCCUCGUGUUCCUUUUCAAACCACUAACAGUGCUACAGUAGUUGGUGAGCCCCAACGUUCAAAGGUGUGUUUCUCCACGUGUAUGGAUGUAAGAACAGGAGCCCGAGGGUUCUGUGUGCUGUACUUAGACUUGUACCUGUGUAACGAAUCAAGGUGUUGUAAAAAUGAGUUGCUGUUCUGUUUGCCCACAGUGUCUGUUAGUAGUUCCCACCUUACUCUAGGGUCAGAGGCAUGGAGCUUUGAAGGGGUCGUCAACCCUGUUCAGAACUUCAAUAGGCUUGUUCUACCCAUUACCCACAGACAAAUACUUUUAAGACAUGUUGACUCCAUUUAGCUAUCUGUUUGAUGUGCAAGCAGACGCUGCUUGCUUUCAGUCCAUUCGCAGUCCAUGUUAAGGUUUUGAAAUCACGUUUGCUCGAGAGAUUGUUGGAUGCUGUUUUCCCUGUGUUAAACUGGUUUGAAGACCGAUCUCGUCAGUGGCCAAGAAUGCUGGACUUUUUAAAGGGUUUCCUCUAUGUUUCAUCGGUAUCGUGAGGUUAUUUUGUAUUUGACGUGCGGUCGGUUUGUGUCAUUUACUUUUUAAUUGAAUGUCAGCCAGGAUUGUGUGCCGUGAUACCAUUUUGAGUCCUGAGGCACCAGCUAAAAUCAAUGGGUGUUUGAUGAUGCGAACAAGGUAGCCAGAUGAGUUCCAUGCCUCUGUCUCUGUUUUGGUCUCUCUCUGUGUGUCUCUACUCUGUAUGUUUCAAACACUCUGUUGUACCAACAGGUCUUUUUAUUUUUGUUUUAAAUGUCUUUGUUUUGUAAUUCUCUCUCUUUUAGGCCUUUAGUGUUGCUUUGCUUACGUUUUGAAGUGUAUCUUUCACGAAUACUUGC